rnacentral:rRNA from 1 species
AGAUUAAGCCAUGCAUGUCUCAGUGCAGCCGUCCAGUACGGUGAAACCGCGAAAGGCUCAGUAAAUCAGUUAUGGUUCCUUAGAUUGUACCCACGUUACUUGGAUAACUGUGGUAAUUCUAGAGCUAAUACAUGCCGACAGAGUUCCGACCAGCGCCGGACGCGCGGUUCGCCGUUGCUCCGGUGUUCGGAAGGAACGCUCAUAUUAGAUCAAAACCGGCCAAGCGGUCGUUCGCGUUUCGGCGCGUUCGGCCCGUAAGUGGCCCGCGCAAAGACUUGACGACUCUGAAUAUUUUCGAGCUGAUCGCACGGUCUUGUACCGGCGACGUAUCUUUCAAAUGUCUGCCUUAUCAACUGUCGACGGUAGGUUCGAUGCCUACCGUGGUGGUAACGGGUAACGGGGAAUCAGGGUUCGAUUCCGGAGAGGGAGCCUGAGAAACGGCUACCACAUCCAAGGAAGGCAGCAGGCGCGCAAAUUACCCACUCCCAGCUCGGGGAGGUAGUGACGAAAAAUAACGAUACGGGACUCAUCCGAGGCCCCGUAAUCGGAAUGAGUACACUUUAAAACCUUGGUCACACGAGGAUCAAU